rnacentral:piRNA from 1 species
UGGCGGUGAUUGUAUCCGGUG